ensembl:snRNA U6 U6 spliceosomal RNA
ACACCUUCAGGUGUAUAUACAAAAUUAUAAUGAUACAGAGAUUAGUAUGGCCCCUAAACAAAGAUGACAUGCAAAUUUGUGAAGUGUUACAUAUUAUU